rnacentral:sRNA from 2 species
CUCAACCGCAAGGAGGGGGAUGCCUAAGGCAGGGCUAGUGACUGGGGUGAAGUCGUAACAAGGUAGCCGUACCGGAAGGUGUGGCUGGAUCACCUCCUUAAAGGGAGACCUAAUUCCAGUAGGAGACGAAAAAAAAGUAGUCCCUACCAAGAAUCAAUCCCAAAAGGUCGGAGCGAGGCAAAAUUGGCUUUCAAACUAGGUUCUGGGUUCACACAAGACCUGAAUCAGGAACAAGGGCUAUUAGCUCAGGUGGUUAGAGCGCACCCCUGAUAAGGGUGAGGUCCCUGGUUCGAGUCCAGGAUGGCCCACCUGCACAGGUGGAAGAAAGAAAAGAAGCUCCGAAUCAGCACCUUAUCUUACUUAUAUAGUAAGAGAGAAUGCUGGCUCUGAGUACAGAGUCCAGAGGAACCUUGAAAACUGCAUAGAGCUAGGUGAAAAAGCCAAAAAAGAAGACCGCAAGGUCAAGCUAAUAAGGGCUAACGGUG